rnacentral:rRNA from 1 species
AUUGAACGCUGGCGGCAGGCCUAACACAUGCAAGUCGAGCGGAUGAAGGGAGCUUGCUCCUGGAUUCAGCGGCGGACGGGUGAGUAAUGCCUAGGAAUCUGCCUGGUAGUGGGGGAUAACGUCCGGAAACGGGCGCUAAUACCGCAUACGUCCUGAGGGAGAAAGUGGGGGAUCUUCGGACCUCACGCUAUCAGAUGAGCCUAGGUCGGAUUAGCUAGUUGGUGGGGUAAAGGCCUACCAAGGCGACGAUCCGUAACUGGUCUGAGAGGAUGAUCAGUCACACUGGAACUGAGACACGGUCCAGACUCCUACGGGAGGCAGCAGUGGGGAAUAUUGGACAAUGGGCGAAAGCCUGAUCCAGCCAUGCCGCGUGUGUGAAGAAGGUCUUCGGAUUGUAAAGCACUUUAAGUUGGGAGGAAGUGCAGUAAGUUAGUACCUUGCUGUUUUGACGUUACCAACAGAAUAAGCACCGGCUAACUUCGUG